UACGUAGGGUGCGAGCGUUGUCCGGAAUUAUUGGGCGUAAAGAGCUUGUAGGCGGUUUGUCGCGUCUGCCGUGAAAAUCCGGGGCUCAACCCCGGACUUGCGGUGGGUACGGGCAGACUAGAGUGUGGGUAGGGGGAGACUGGAAUUCCUGGUGUAGCGGUGAAAUGCGCAGAUAUCAGGAGGAACACCGAUGGCGAAGGCAGGUCUCUGGGCAUUAACUGACGCUGAGGAGCGAAAGCAUGGGGAGCGAACGG
rnacentral:rRNA from 1 species